rnacentral:rRNA from 1 species
CGUGUGCGCGAGUCAUUGGGUGUCAAAACCUAAAGGCGUAAUGAAAGUGAAGGAAACUUUGUUUUCGAGGGAGGAUGGGUUAGGUCCCUUUCGAAGGGCCGGCCUCGCACUCCCGGGGCGUCUCUAUCUCAUCGCGAGAGGAGGCGCACCUAGAGCGUACACGCUGAUACCCGAAAGAUGGUGAACUAUGCCUGGCCAGGACGAAGCCAGGGGAAACCCUGGUGGAGGUCCGCAGCGAUUCUGACGUGCAAAUCGAUCGUCGGAGCUGGGUUUAGGGGCGAAAGACCAAUCGAACCAUCUAGUAGCUGGUUCCCUCUGAAGUUUCCCUCAGGAUAGCUUGCGCUCGGAAACAACGAGUCUCAUCCGGUAGAGCGAAUGAUUAGAGGCCUUGGGGUCGAAACGACCUCAACCUAUUCUCAAACUCCAAAUAGAUGAGAACCCCGGCUUUCUUGAACUCUGUUUAUGAAGCCGGGGGCUCGGAUCAGA